AGUAAAAGUCGUAAACAAGGGUUUCCGUAGGUGAACCUGCGGAAGGAUCAUUACCGAGUGCGGGUUCUCACGAGCCCAACCUCCCACCCGUGUUUACCGUUACCGCGUUGCCUCGGCGGGCCCACUGGGGCCUGGCCCCGGUCGCCGGGGGGCUUCUGCCCCCGGGCCCGCGCCCGCCGACGCACCCUAGAACCCUGCCUGAAUAGUGAGUCUGAGUGAGAUUUGAAAUCAUUAAAACUUUCAACAACGGAUCUCUUGGUUCCGGCAUCGAUGAAGAACGCAGCGAAAUGCGAUAAGUAAUGUGAAUUGCAGAAUUCCGUGAAUCAUCGAAUCUUUGAACGCACAUUGCGCCCCCUGGCAUUCCGGGGGGCAUGCCUGUCCGAGCGUCAUUUCUGCCCUCCAGCACGGCUGGGUGUUGGGCGCUGUCCCCCCGGGGACACGCCCCAAAAGCAGUGGCGGCGCCGCGUCGGGUCCUCGAGCGUAUGGGGCUUUGUCACCCGCUCGGGAGGGACUCGGUCGGCGCUGGUCUUCCCUUUAGGCCGCCCUUCGGGGUGCGCCUCUUCCGGUUGACCUCGGAUCAGGUAGGGCUACCCGCUGAACUUAAGCAUAUCAAUAAGCGGAGGAAAAGAAACCAACAGGGAUUGCCCCAGUAACG
rnacentral:rRNA from 1 species